GUGUGGGCAUGCAUCAGUUUGUGCGUGAGGGUGCUUCUUCAUGCAUGAUCUUGUCAGCUCUACUCCAGCUGUGUUGUGUUGAUGGGAAGAGGAAUGCGCUUUACCUCGUGCUGACAGGAACAGUGGGUUGUUCAGCAGAUCACAAAAGAAUGGAAAUAGAAUGGAACAGAAUGGAAAAAAAAAUUAAAAUGGUUCAUAUGUUUAUUUGGAGCUUACCUUCCAAGUGUUCUGUGGUGACAAGGCCGAGGGCUACCAUGAAGGCAAUUUUCUUAAGACCAGACAGCAGCUUUACAUUUACACCUCUGAGAUACACAGAUGCAGUGGACUGUGCAAACUGUACAUACAGAUAGUACAGACAGUAAUCUUACCUCUGGGUCUUCCUCCUUCUUCUUGGUCUUGUGUGCGGGGGAGGGGGCGGGACUAGGCCCCUGUGUGUGGAUCUCAGCCGGUGGACCUGAAGAACCCUGAGAGCUGCUGGGGAUCUGCGGCUGGAUUAUUAUCACCUGCACACACAAGCAAACAUAAACACACAUGAGAAUGUUUUUAUGAUCAUAGGGUCACACUGGCAAUCACCUUUAAUCCUUUAGGUCAAGUUACUCCUGACACACUUCUGAAGGCAUGGAUGGAUGCUGUGCUCAGACAUUCAUGUAGAUAAUUUAUGCUUUCUCAAGAGAUGCCGUUAUUGAACUGUGAUAACACACUGGACCAACACCAGCAGAUGACAUGGCUCCCUAAACCAUCACUGACUGUGGAAACUUCACACUAGACCUCAAGCAGUUUGGACUGUGGUCUCUUCACUCUUCCUCCAGACUCUGCUCCCUUGAUUUUUUAAAAUGAAAUGUAAAAUUUACUGAUGGUCAGUGAUGGUUUGGAGAGUCAUGUUAUUUACUGGUGUUGGUCCACUGUGUUAUCCAAAGUCCAAAGUCAAUGCAUUGUUUCAAUCUUAGAGCACUUUUUGCUUCACUCUGCUGACAACUUUUAUGGAGAUGCGAAUUUCAUUUUCCAGCAGGACUGGUAUUAGUCUUUAAUAUUUAAUAUUCAAAUUUUCUGAGACACUGAUUUUUGUUUCACAUUUUGAACUGAAUUACUAAAAUUAAAUAACUUUUCAAUGAUAUUAAACAAUUUUGAGAUUCACUAGUGUUUUACAAAUCAACAUAUAAGAGAAGGUAUCCUGGGAAAUGACUACACACUUAAGGCAAGUAAAGGGUCAACCACAAACCCAGUGCACGAACAGAUGGCAAACUCUAAUGGUCAACUCACUGUGUUGACUCAAACAGUAAAUCUUAAUUGAAUUAAUUCACCACUUCAAAUCCACAACUUCAUUUUUUUUAUAUUUAAGAUAUGUUCAUUGAUUCAAUUACAUGUAGUCCUGUUAAGUUUUACAGUAAACAAAGUGGACAAAGUUCUAGCUGUACACAAGUCUGAAAUCACACACAAGUUUAAGAACAUGUCUCUCCACAUUGGCACCUGCACAAUCAGCAGUGAAUGAAGUUCUGAACUGUUGUUUUUGCUUGAUAAUAAGUGAGGCUGGUGGGAAGGGGUGUACCCCAAUGGAUAACAAGGUCAAAAAAUACCAUUCUGACUUUACGUUGACCUUAAGAAAUAGUUCUGAGAUAUCUUUAUAUCAAAAUAAAAGCCCCCACACACAUUACAAACUAGCUCUUUCAGCAACCUGCAAAAAGAGCAGACGUGGAAUAUCCAUCACUGCUGAGUAACAGACUCUGCUGUGUGUACAAUAUUUCUGUGUCAUCUACAGUGUGGGGUGGAAAAAUGUGGGCCACAGGAGCUGGGUGUGACCAGCAGCCGUGAGGACCACCGCUCUCCCUCUUAACGACAUCGUAAUGAGCCUCACCAAUCUUCCCAGUGUCAGCCACUAGCCAUUUUUCAUCUGGGCCUGAGAUUAAUUACUGCUGCAGAACGUAUAUGCCGAGGUGAGCCUCCAUUCAGAGCCACUCUGGGCUUGUGAAGAAUUCCUCAUCACACACAAGAGCCCAGCAAGGUUAAGCUGCCCAAUCAGGGAGCAGAUUCCCAAAAGCAUUACUGUGUCACGAUAAUGGUGAGAGUUAGAAACUGGGACUUUUUAGAACAGUAGAGUUGGUCAGUAAACCGCACAAUGCAUUUACAACUUCGGUAAUUUACGCUCAAUAUGAAUGUAUAUCAACUAGAAGACAAUAUUUUUAAAUCCUUCAGUUUCAGCGUCACUCAAAAAGUGUUUUGAAAUCUGCACAUGCUAGUUCUUUUAUCUGUCUCUAGGUGGCCACAUAAUCUUGUCUUUGUAAGAAGAUUUUUCUCAAAUAAAUAAAUAAAACUGCACAUAAACAGCAGCCUGUUCAAAAAGGA